GUUAGAUGUAUACCGGAUAGCACUGCUCUUACUAACCCUGCCCAAUUCCUGAAUACAUUUGGUGAUAGGUUUACAGUACUGGUUUUUUAAACAGAAUGACAUUUUAAAUACAUACUGCUGGCGUGUCCCUGAUAUGCCAUCCAAAUUUACUUUGAGUCUUAGUGAGCCGUAGAGCUCUGAUUAUCUGUUUCCUUAUGAGUACUUACAUAAUCAACUAUAACCUGGGUAUGUAAUGUGUAUUCUAGGGUAUGAAAUGUGUAUUCUAUGAAGCUAAAAAUAGGAAAGGCACCACUCAUUCAAGGGUUAAUUUAAGACUCCAGAAGAGGCAGCUUCACCAUCUGGACCCCAAACCAGAGUCAACCAUCCAGGGCCAGACACACCUUCCUCCGGUGAGCCACAAAGGUGAUGGUGAAAGUUACACCAAGUCAAAACUUUCUUGUACUUCAAGGAAACGGCAUUCACCAGUUAACACAAAGGCUGUAUACUCCCAAAGACACUCUUGCUACUCUGCUGUACAAAAUUCAAAAUGACUUAAGGAAGCACCAGAGUCCUCUGAGGCAUUU
rnacentral:lncRNA from 1 species